ensembl:misc_RNA 7SK 7SK RNA
UGUGAGAGCGAUUUGGCUGUGACAUCUGUCACCCCACUGAUAGCCAGGGUUGAUUGGGCUAAUAUGGCUGGCUAGGCGAGUGUCCCCUUCCUCCCCCACCACUCCAUGUGCAUCCCUCCCAAAGCUGAGCACUAGGUCGAAGAGGAUUACCUUCCCCGAAUAGAGGAGGACCAGUCUUCAUUCAAAGGUCUACGAGUAGCUGCACUCCCCUGCUAAAGGAAAUAUGGAAGGAAAUAAAAUUUACACCAGAAAAGUUGUAUUAGGAACAAAAGAAUAC